rnacentral:misc_RNA from 1 species
CUCUUAUGCUUAGGUGCCUCCUGCAAAUCCAUGCAAUCUGUCCAUUAUCCCUGUAUCUCACUCUCCACAAUCCAAACUUCUCUGCAAUGUCCUUUCCAGUCGAACACCUGCGGUCCCUUAGAAAAUCAACCACCCAUUGUUGUGCUGCUCUUACUUCUUGUUGAAUAUUUCUUGAGCUUUCUGCACUUCUGUUUCUGUUCCUGAUUCCCUCCAUUCGUCCCAUAGCUGCAGCCCCCACAGCUCCAGCAGCAACUGCUCCUGCUGCUCCAUACAUGAUGGAAGAGCCAGUUAGAUGAGCAACUUCUCUGCUCAAAUCUGGUAUCAUUUCUCCCAUUCCAGCUACCAGAUGGGCUCCUAUCUUGAGCGCAAAUGUUACCAAUUUCAUGAAUUUUUUCAUAUAUGGAGCCAAACUUUUCACUGCCCUGUUAUCAACCUGCAUAAUUUCACAACCAAUCUGAUCUUCAACAACGUGCAUUUCUCGUCUGAAUUCACAUAACAUGUGAAGCCGGAGUGCAGUCAUACCAGAGAUCAUGUUAGUGACCAAUCUUCUUGAGUAGUUUUCUGUUCUGACGAAAAAGAACAUGUUAGGUACUUUCCUCUCUUCCAGUUGGACAUUG